UACGUAGGGUGCGAGCAUUAAUCGGAAUUACUGGGCGUAAAGCGUGCGCAGGCGGUGAGCUGUGUCCGAUGUGAAAGCCCCGGGCUUAACCUGGGAAUGGCAUUGGAAACUGGCUCGCUGGAGUGUGGCAGAGGGGGGUGGAAUUCCGCGUGUAGCAGUGAAAUGCGUAGAGAUGCGGAGGAACACCGAUGGCGAAGGCAGCCCCCCUGGGCUAACACUGACGCUCAGGCACGAAAGCGUGGGGAGCAAACAGG
rnacentral:rRNA from 1 species